CUGCUCGCCAGGUAACCGACAGAGCGUUGCCCUCCGAAGGCAGAGGUCACAGGUUCGAAUCCUGUCGGGUACGCCA
rnacentral:tRNA from 1 species